rnacentral:rRNA from 2 species
UGUGAGGCGUUGAGCUAACCUGUACUAAUUGCCCGUGAGGCUUAACCAUACAACACCCAAAGGGUUUUG